AGGGUCUGCGGCAGAGGCUUCGAAAAGCGGCUCCCACACAUUGAAGUGCCCCGAGGAGCAGGGUGGCAGCUCCCAUGUAGCUGGUGAAGGAGUUCCUGCUGACUGCGUCUUGCUGGAGGAAACCUUGGGCAGUCGCUCAGUUGUCACAAAGGAACAUACUUCCGCAGGCUGCUCGCAAGAUUGUUCCGACAGCAGUGUCCGAGGUACUGAACAAGCUUCACAAGACUCUCCAGAAGAUGUGUCCUCCAACAGCUCCACGCCUGAGUGCCCUACAGC